rnacentral:misc_RNA from 1 species
GAUGAAGAACGUAGUGAAAUGCGAUAAGUAAUGCGAAUUGCAGAAUUCAGUGAGUCAUCGAAUCUUUGAACGCACAUUGCGCCCUGUGGUAUUCCGCAGGGCAUGCCUGUUCGAGCGUCAUUUCAACCCUCAAGCCUCGCUUGGUGUUGGGCCCUGCCCGCCGCGGCCGGCCCUAAAGAUAGUGGCGGCGCCGCCUGGCCCUCAGCGUAGUACAGCUCCCGCUCCAGGGUCCGGCGGCAGCCUGCCAGAACCCCCCAACUCUGUGGUUGACCUCGGAUCAGGUAGGGAUACCCGCUGAACUUAAGCAUAUCAAUAAGCGGAGGA